AUAAGAGCUGAAGGCAAAUAGAGCAUGAAGGAUAGAUGAGAUAGGAGAGGGGCUAACCAGAAAAGCUGGAAAAGAAGAAGUUCAUGGGCUGUGGAGGGCAGGAAGAAGAAUCCUAAAGAGGAUUUGAAAGAGGGAGAAAUUAUUGGGGGCAGAGGUGGGAAUAGAGGCACUGUCCUGGUAAGAGCAGCACUGGCCCUCUCUCUCAGAAGUGACUGACUAUGCAUGGGGAGGAUGGUAUUUGAUCAAGUUAGAGCACGUGCGCACGCACACACACACACACAUACACACACUCACCAAAUUAUUAGAGGAAUGGGGAAAUCUCAUUUCAAUAAUAGGGAAAGGAGAGAAUUGAAUGGUUUGGUAGUCAAGAAGGAAAGUAGUGUUCACUCUUACCUCAUGGAGCAGGAGUGAGAGCCCCUGGUUAAGAGAAGCUGGGACCUCAGAAUCAUAGUGUGUCACACUUGCCAACAUGGCCACAUGAUCCCUCUCUGCAGCCACUGGGAACUGAGUUAAGAGGUGGGGAAUGGGGGUGGGGGGCAGUGGUAGCAUUGUUUAGUAGGAAUAAGGCAAGAUUUCCUAAGUUCUUCCCACUACAGGGCAGAGCUCCUCUCUUUGCCCAACAUCCCUACCAUCUUCUCACCUUCCCAGUUGCCAGACAGAAAAGCAAGACACCCAGGGACCACCAGUCAGCAGCAUGGUUGUAAGGCCCUCCACUCAGGACCUCUGGGGCUAGAUUUGAAAGACAGGUGUCACUGACAUCAAUUGGCUGUCCUCUGCCAAUGCUUCCCUACCAGUUUUAGCCCCUGUCUCACCCAUGUACUGAAGGGUGCCACAGAUAGUAUAGGCUCGGGCUCCCUGGGGCAGGUGGCGGGACAAACCAAAGUCUGUCAGUUUCACAUGGCCUGUGAAAGAUAAGGCAACAGCACCACUCUGUUCCACCCCUUGUCAGCCAUGACAUAUUCCCAAACUGACAGUACCUCUAAUUCUGGGGCUAGGAAAAGGAAAGGACUUACCUCGUUCAUCCAGAAGGAUAUUCUCCAUCUGAAAAAUCACAAGUGAGAGGUUAUUCAUCUUCCUUUUAACCUUCUUUUAUCAUAUAUACCUGUCCGCUGAGGAAGAUGCCCUAUUCAGCAUUCAAGUCUAUACUUUGAGGGCUCUUGCCCAAAUCCUUAGCACCCUUGAGGGCCCCAAGGUCAGCUAUCCUCAUCUCCCCUCUCCCUUCUUAGAUCUGUUGGUACUUCUUACUGAUGCCCCACUUCAGACAGAGAAAAAGUGCUUAACUCUACCUUCACAUCUCGGUGGAUGAUGCCCAAAUCAUGGAGAUAGCCUGUGGAUGACAGCAAGUAAUGGGGUGUGCUAAAGCUCUCCUGUCUUUCCAGUUUCCCUGGUAGUUCCCAUCCCAUCCCUAUUCCUGUUCUUUGACCUCCAGAGUUAAUACCACUUCUCUCUGCCCCUCCCCCUUAAGUCUUCCCUCAUUUCCAUUACCAUUUCUGUUUCACUUACACAGCACCAGAACCAGUUCAGCAGCAAAGAGGCGGAUGGAAGCCUCAGUCAAGCAGCCGACAGAGGACCACAGGGAGCACAGAUCUGUACUGCAGUAGCUGCACACUGCAAAGGACCAGAAGUCUAGGGUGCUAGGAAAGGCAGGAAAUGAAUAUGAGUUCUUGAAACCAUCAGAAGAAACUUAGAACCCCAAACAUCUCCAUCUCCUUUCAUCCCUGGAAAAGACUCAGGAAACAGAAGAAAUCUUCAGCUGACCCAAACAGAACCCUAGGAUUCUUCCAUCUUUCUGUCAUUAGGGGCAUGUCUGGUACCUCAGGUACUUUCCGAAAUGAUCUUCUGACACCAGAACUCCGAUUUAAGCCUUGUGCAACACCCUUCCCAGGGCCCAGUGGUGCUGCAUCAUCUGUUGCAAUCAGCUGCCGAGGCUUAACCACUGGUAUUCCUAUGAAAAAGCAAGCACACCAGCUGUUGUCCUCUUUCUGAAGCUUCAGCUAUCUCUGAGGCUGCUACCCCAGUCUUCCGGAUCUCCACCAUAAAAGUUCUCACCAGUAGUCACCAGUUUGGACUUAUCUUCUUCAUCACCAACCUCAUCAUCUUCUACGCUUCGGCCAGGAAAGAAAAAGCCCAUUAUUCUAUGGAAGAACUGGUGUGUCAGCUGGAUGGUGAGAGGCACCACAUUUACCUAAAGAGGAAAAAGGCUGAAGAAGCAAUUAAGCUCAGACAUCAUCCCUCAGUUUACCUACCCCUAAUGUAACAUUGACACACAGAUAGCUUUUGAGUGCCCUUUGUUCCUGGGUCCCCAAAGGACUGUUUACUAACCUCAAAGUGUUCCUUAACAGAAAUACCCCCAACAGGGGGCCGGACUUUGCUGAAAAGGCGGAGGGCUAGCUGUCGCCCAGAUUGGCAGGAGCUCUGGGGCCGUAGGACUACCUGUAAGAUAAAGAGUGAUAAAUCUACCCACAAAUCCCUGCAGACUAAGAGGAAAAGCAACAGUCUUGCUAAGCUAGACAAGCUUUCACCUCUCAGAUCACCACAGUAUUUCCCUUAGUGGGUUUAUGGGGAAGGGCCAUUACAAAUGCCCUGUGUUAGGAAGCAUGAGAAUGGGGCAGGAAUGGGGAAAUAAGACUUGCCUUAUAGACAGCAUUGGGGAGGAGGUUGUUCAUAGUGAACCAGCCCAAUUCCAGAAGAUGUUCUGCUGUGUCAUCAGACUUAUUCACCUAUAAAGACAGAUUCCCCCCCACCCCCACCCCACACACUAUUAUAAGUCUUUCUCAGGAGCUUGCUAGAGAAUUGCUACAUAUCCUGUUUUCAGGUUCUCCAUAUGUUUAAUCCCAACCUUUGGUAUCCCUUUCAUCUCCAUACAGUCAAUUCACCCUUUAAUCCAGUGUUUCUCAUGGACACUACUAACAAGAGCACUAAGUGCCAGUAAUCCUUCCCAAUUACUGUGAUAGUCAAAUAUGGUCUCACUCAUUUCCAAACUCCCAGGGGGAAGGAGUGUGGAAUAAUGAAUCAUGUCUUCUCCUCCAUUUAUUGCAGGAAAGCUGAAUGUCAGUAUAGAAUUAAUUCUAUUCCAAGCUGGUAUUGGAAGAUUACUUCUUUCUGGGCCAUAUUUCUAGGGAUAAUCUUAUUCAAUGAAAGAAGCAUUUGAUCAAGCUCAUCUAUAUCUGUAUUAUUUAAUAUUACAAACAACUAUGUCUAAAGGGAACUCUGCUCAUGUAUCAUCAUUAAUAACCAUUAAUACCAGCAUUAGUAAUCAUAUAAUAAUUAGCCUCUUUGUUUCUCCGAGUUAAGACUCCUGUGAUAGGUCAAUGUCUCUCAAUACAGCUGCCUUUAUGUGACUGUAUACACCCGAUACCUUGCUGUAGAGGAACCGCUGCAGCUCUAGUUCAGCAAUUCCUAGCUGUCCAUCUUCCUCUGUCAGACGCCAUCGUGCCUGAGCAAAGUAGAACUCAGUGCGACGAACCACACUCACAUCUUCUUGUUGUUUUCGCAACUCCAUCUUAUUGGCCUGCUGCAAUUGGAAAUCCUUAAAACACCUAUAAAUGGACAGGAGGGCCAAAGCCAAUAAGGGUAACAGCAUUUGGGUUGGGGGUGGGGUAGAAUGCUCUAGAAUGAUGCAGGAGGUAAAUCCAGAGAUGGACCUAUUUUGGGACAGCUAUUCCCUAUUUUUUUCACUGGAUUCAUGCUCCUCACACCCUGGGCCAUGGGAGAAUAAAUCCCAUCUUUCAAAUUUUUCAAUUCCA